AAACAAUGAACGCAUGAUGGUCUUCGGUUCAAUUUUUUGAACGAGUUCAUUGUCUGCUUCAUGGUAAUAGCUGCAGGUAGUAAUUUUGUUUGUUGUUUCAUGCGUCGUAGAAGACCUUAACUUCUUCAUUGUUUUCUUUCCAUCCUUUCUCUGUGUUGUCAUGCUAUGGAAAUUUGAUUUUAUUAAGUGUGGUGCUACUGUUGAAGAGAUUUGAUUAAUUGGUCAAGUGUGAUGCUGCCGUUGUAUAAAUUUGAUUAAUUUGUUUAAGACAUCGAGGGUGGUGCUGCUGUUGUUUUGUUUCUUUUAGCGGUUGUUCUGUUAACUGAAUCUACAACUAGUAGUUGAGCAGUUCUGGUUCGCUCAUGUUGGGUCUAUCCUCUUUGAACAAAGGAUGUUAACCACGUUGUGUUCUCUGUUGACCGUCGAUUAUAAAAUUUCUUCUGCGUUUUAGUUGAUAUCUGUUUAGCAAUAUGUUCUGUCUAAAUUUUUUAUAUUUGUUAAAAUUCUGCCUUUAACUUGUCUAGUCGCCUCUCUUUUUGAUUGGUGUUACUUGUUAGUUUGACAAUCAUGGUGAAUAUAUUUUGCUCGGCUUAGGAAAGUGAUACUCGUCAAAAUAAGUUCUAAACAGUCUUCUCAUGUGUUACUCUCUCUCAUCAUCUAGAUUUGCCGUUGGUAUUUUUAUUUUAUCUUUUGAUACAUGUUGUUUUUCUUUACCCUUCUAAUAGCGGG
rnacentral:lncRNA from 1 species